rnacentral:rRNA from 1 species
UACGAAGGGGGCGAGCGUUGUUCGGAUUUACUGGGCGUAAAGGGCGCGCAGGCGGUUCUGUUUGUCGAGUGUGAAAGCCCCGGGCUCAACCUGGGAACUGCGCUCGAAACGGCAGAACUAGAGUUCGGGAGAGGAGAGUGGAAUUCCCAGUGUAGAGGUGAAAUUCGUAGAUAUUGGGAAGAACACCGGUGGCGAAGGCGGCUCUCGUGGACCGAUACUGACGCUGAGGUGCGAAAGCGUGGGGAGCAAACAGG